UGAAUUUUCCCACACUGUGGGAAAUGACUCAUCACACUCUGAUUGGUUAUCCACCAAUCAGAGUGUUAUGAGUGUUAUGAGUCAUUUUACACAGUGUGGGAAAG